rnacentral:rRNA from 1 species
UACGGAGGGGGCAAGCGUUGUUCGGAAUUACUGGGCGUAAAGGGCGCGUAGGCGGCCACCGCAAGUCGACUGUGAAAUCUCCGGGCUUAACCCGGAAAGGUCAGCCGAUACUGCGGGGCUAGAGUGCAGAAGGGGCAACUGGAAUUCUCGGUGUAGCGGUGAAAUGCGUAGAUAUCGAGAGGAACACCUGCGGCGAAGGCGGCUCACUGGACCGGAACUGACGCUGAGGCGCGAAAGCGUGGGGAGCAAACAGG